UACCAGCUCUCCGAGUGGUAGGGAUGAUUAUUGGGCUUAAAGCGUCCGUAGCCGGCUUAGCAAGUCUCCUGUUAAAUUCAGCGACCUAAUCGUUGAGCCGCGGGAGAUACUAUUAGGCUAGGAGGCGGGAGAGGUCAACGGUACUUCUGGGGUAGGGGUGAAAUCCUAUAAUCCCGGGAGGACCACCAGUGGCGAAGGCUGUUGACUAGAACGCGCUCGACGGUGAGGGAUGAAAGCUGGGGGAGCGAACCGGAUUAGAUACCCGGGUAGUCCCAGCUGUAAACGAUGCAGGCUAGGUGUUUGGGCGGCCACGUGCCGCUCUAGUGCCGCAAGGAAGCUGUUAAGCCUGCCGCCUGGGGAGUACGGCCGCAAGGCUGAAACUUAAAGGAAUUGGCGGGGAACACCACAAGGGGUGAAGCUUGCGGUUU
rnacentral:rRNA from 1 species